GAGGAGACACCCAACAGCCACUACUAACCUCCUCCUCUCACUUCUCUAGAAGUUUCCUGACAGCCUUUCACAACAUCUUUGUAUAAUAUUUGCUGGUGAGACUCAUGCAAAAUUCUGAACUCAGAGCAUGGUUCUGACAGCAGUGCUGUAGACAUGGUCUCUCAGCAUCUCUCCAGCACUGCUUGUUUCUGACAUGCUACUGAUAAGCACUGCAGUGUGAGUGAUGAACAGAGGGCAUUGCUGUGACAAGCUGAAAGAACUCAGGUGGGACCUCUCUGCUUCAUGGACACAUUUUAUGGCAUCUGGAAAGGAGGUCUGGAAAAAUAGGCUCUGUCCUCAACAUGCCCAUGGGAGUCUUGGCAGCCUCUGCAGCAUUCGUCUCUGAGCUGAGCCUCAGCAGCAGGAAGACUGAAAUUGAAACUAGAGAGGUAGAAUUACUGUUUUCAAUCUGAGACAGUUUUGAACAAGCCCACUUAUGACCUGAUCCCAUUUAUCAGAUUGUUUGUUAAAUUUCACCCUCUUGAGUGGAACAUCCACUCAACAUGAAGUACUUUAUCUCUCAGAGAAACAAAGUCACAAGAUAGGAGAGGGAAUUGAAACAUGGACUGAAAUGUAUGAAGAAUCACCCUGACUCCAUCUUAGGCUUAAAAGCCAUCUUAUAGUAAAGACAAACUAGGUUCAUUCCUGUUUAUAGUCAAACCUGUUUCUCAAGGAUUGGACUUUAUCCCACCUGGAACUUUAACUACAAGUGGUUCUGUAUGUUCCAGAAAUGGCAAUCAUGUCUUUGCUUCAAGAACUGGCUUAUAACCAUAAUAAAAACCGAACUUUGGGGGGGAGGGAAUAAAAAAAAAAAACCCUACCUUAGUUUCAACAGGUUAUAUGACCAUCUAUGACUAACUUGGUAUGACUACCAGUUGCUAUGACUAUCUUGUUAUGUCAUCUUAGUAACCAUGAUUUUGUUUCAAUUAAUUACUUGCUUCAAUAAGUUUGGCCAUAAUGAUUUGGGUCAGUGAUUUUUCUCCUUCCAUCUUUGAGAUUAACAUGUGCUAGAGAUAAAAUAAUUAAAACUGCUAAAUGAAAAG